AUUGAACGCUGGCGGAAUGCUUCACACAUGCAAGUCGAACGGCAGCACGGACUUCGGUCUGGUGGCGAGUGGCGAACGGGUGAGUAAUGUAUCAGAACGUGCCCAGUCGUGGGGGAUAACGUAGUGAAAAUUACGCUAAUACCGCAUACGAUCUAUGGAUGAAAGCGGGGGAUCGCAAGACCUCGCGCGAUUGGAGCGGCCGAUAUCAGAUUAGGUAGUUGGUGGGGUAAAGGCCCACCAAGCCAACGAUCUGUAGCUGGUCUGAGAGGACGACCAGCCACACUGGAACUGGGACACGGUCCAGACUCCUACGGGAGGCAGCAGUGGGGAAUUUUGGACAAUGGGCGAAAGCCUGAUCCAGCCAUUCCGCGUGCAGGAUGAAGGCCCUCGGGUUGUAAACUGCUUUUGUACAGAACGAAAAGGUUUCUACUAAUACUAGGAGCUCAUGACGGUACUGUAAGAAUAAGCACCGGCUAACUACGUGCCAGCCGCCGCCGUAA
rnacentral:rRNA from 1 species